AUUGAACGCUGGCGGCAUGCCUUACACAUGCAAGUCGAACGGCAGCGCGGGAGCAAUCCUGGCGGCGAGUGGCGAACGGGUGAGUAAUAUAUCGGAACGUGCCCAGUAGUGGGGGAUAGCCCGGCGAAAGCCGGAUUAAUACCGCAUGAGACCUGAGGGUGAAAGCGGGGGAUCGCAAGACCUCGCGCUAUUGGAGCGGCCGAUAUCAGAUUAGCUAGUUGGUGGGGUAAAGGCCUACCAAGGCAACGAUCUGUAGUUGGUCUGAGAGGACGACCAGCCACACUGGGACUGAGACACGGCCCAGACUCCUACGGGAGGCAGCAGUGGGGAAUUUUGGACAAUGGGCGCAAGCCUGAUCCAGCAAUGCCGCGUGCAGGAAGAAGGCCUUCGGUUGUAACUGCUUUGUCAGGAAGAAAGUACUUCUGGGCUAAUACCCCGGACGGAGUGACGGUACCGUGAAGAAUAAGCACCGGCUAACUACGUG
rnacentral:rRNA from 1 species